UUCCUUCAACGUCAGACCUGAGCUUCCCCUGGCGCAGCUUGAGCCCAUUUAAUCUUGUCCUGUCGCUAGCUGCCUGGGAAAAAAGUGCCAGCGCCCACCAUCCACAAGCUCCUAUCAAGCAGCUGUAGAGAACUGUGAGAUCAUCCCUGAACACCUUUUUUUCCAGGCUUAACAAUCCUAACUCCCUCAGCUGGAUUUUACCAUCUAGACGUAAUAUUGAACCAGCACAGCCCAAAAUCCCCAUGUUACUUUGAUGAAUAGCAAACAUGCAUCUGAGUGACAGCAGCAAUUAUGAUGAUUGAGAUUUGCUGUGGAGUGACAUCAGUACAAUGCUGACAGCUGACCUGCAGCCUCCAAAACCUCCUCUUCAGGUAGCAGCAAUGGGACUCUACAGUGGCCAUGGUGGCUUUAUCUGGGUGCUGAGCAGCCAUGCAGUCCCAGCCUCUUCCACGAGCCUGUGAAAAUAUGAGGAGCUUUCUGCUUCCAGAUUUCCUGCUGAUACCACAGCCCCACAAUGAGGUAGGUAGUAUUGAAUUAAAGAGUGCUAGAAACUCCAUCUAUGGUCUUUUCCUCUGUAGCCAGGACAAGUAAUCAGGGCUCAGUAAUUUUGCCCUUGGCAACUACAGAAACAUUUUGUGUACAUUUCAAAUCUGUGGCUCCUCAGGCAAUACACAGGUUAGACUUGAAUUUAAGCAGAUGAAUAAUCCUGUGGCUAUUCAGCAGAGAGUUGUUCAAUCCUGUUUUUCUGAACAAACAUAGAAUUACAUGAUGUGGAGUAAUAGGAAGGAUACUCUUCAAAAACAAGGUCACAAUGUGGGAAAAGUUGAGACAAGAGGCUGGUGGAUUUGCAGAUGCUCUAACUUAUAGAGCCUGUAAA